rnacentral:rRNA from 1 species
UACGAAGGGUGCAAGCGUUACUCGGAAUUACUGGGCGUAAAGCGUGCGUAGGUGGUUUGUUAAGUCUGUUGUGAAAGCCCCGGGCUCAACCUGGGAAUGGCAUUUGUGACUGGAAGGCUAGAGUGUGUCAGAGGGGGUAGAAUUCCACGUGUAGCAGUGAAAUGCGUAGAGAUGUGGAGGAAUACCGAUGGCGAAGGCAGCCCCCCUGGGAUAACACUGACGCUCAUG